UAGGGUAGUCUCUUCAUCUUCUCCCCAUUUCUUUAAUUUCAAAAUCUCUCCCUCCAUUUUUCAAAACCUUCUUUGUGUGAACUAUUUUUAUUCUAAACUUUGACCACUUUUGCAAAAGAUAGAAACUUUGGCCUUAUGCCAUUGCAUUUUCAAACUUACUUUCUUAAAUCAAACUUGUAUGUUGGUAUAUAGGCACAAGACCGAAGGUCUUGUCAAACACAAAAAUAUAAUUAAUGAAUUCUUU
rnacentral:lncRNA from 1 species